rnacentral:lncRNA from 1 species
GGAAGCUUUGGGAGCCAGCCAGAAGGGAACAGCAGUAGGGAACACAGGUAGUAGAUGCCUCAACAGAGCGAUGUGCAAAGUCUUAGGAUGGUCCUGGGGAGCCUUUUACUGCUAGAGUUCUUGUCUGGGACCAUGAGGGGGCUGAACUCAUCUCUGAGCUAUUUGGUCCUGCUGCACGGCUUCAAUGAGCAGCACAGGAACAACACCCUCCCCCUGCAUCCCACCUGGCAGGACGAGGCCCAGGAGGCUUUUGAAUUUGUUCCUGCUCGCUACGGGUCACAUCCUGGCUUUGGGCCAUCACGACAUCCCUACAAGACUGCCUGCGACCUCCAGGGAGAGGCCAGCUUACCAGCUUUUAGCGUCCCUUGGAAGGA